rnacentral:rRNA from 1 species
AUUGAACGCUGGCGGCAGGCCUAACACAUGCAAGUCGAGCGGAUGAAGGGAGCUUGCUCCUGGAUUCAGCGGCGGACGGGUGAGUAAUGCCUAGGAAUCUGCCUGGUAGUGGGGGAUAACGUCCGGAAACGGGCGCUAAUACCGCAUACGUCCUGAGGGAGAAAGUGGGGGAUCUUCGGACCUCACGCUAUCAGAUGAGCCUAGGUCGGAUUAGCUAGUUGGUGGGGUAAAGGCCUACCAAGGCGACGAUCCGUAACUGGUCUGAGAGGAUGAUCAGUCACAAUGAAACUGAGACACGGUCCAGACGCCUACGGGAGGCAGCAGUGGGGAAUAUUGGACAAUGGGCGAAAGCCUGAUCCAGCCAUGCCGCGUGUGUGAAGAAGGUCUUCGGAUUGUAAAGCACUUUAAGUUGGGAGGAAGGGCAGUAAGUUAAUACCUUGCUGUUUUGACGUUACCAACAGAAUAAGCACCGGCUAACUUCGUG